GACAUAGGUUGCGAACGUUAUCCGGAAUUAUUGGGCGUAAAGGAUGCGUAGAUGGUGUGAUAAGUUAUCAGUGGCAAAAUCGGGGCUCAACCUCGUGGAAGCUGGUAAUACUGUCAUACUUGAGUGCAGGAGAAGUUAACGGAACUCUAUAUGGAGCGGUAAAAUGUGACGAUAUAUAGAAGAACAUCAAUAAGGCGAAGGCAGUUAACUAUUCUGUUUACUGACAUUGAGGCAUGAAAGCGUGGGGAGCAAAACGG
rnacentral:rRNA from 1 species